CCCAAACAUUUUUACGUUGGACAACUUUUUGAUUAGGAAGAAUAGGAUGGUGGAUUUGAACAAUUUGGGUUUGGAGAGUAGGGAUAAGGUUCUCGAGUCGUGUAGAAAGCUUUUGAGAUCGUCUGGGUUUCUGUUCAAGGAUCAAUGGGUGCGUGUAAUUCUAGAUGGACAGCCAGGAUUAGGCUGUGGAUAGCAGGUUGAAGAGGUGACUUUGGGGUUCGGAAAGCAAGUUGUCUCUGCCGCCGACAACACUUUUCUCUUCUGCUAUUAUCGUUGACACUCUCAAUGUAGUCAAGGUAGGGUACAUGCCCAUGUGUUUUUUUUUUUAGUUUCGGUUGGUGUGUGGAACUGUGGGGGAAAAGAAAUGAAGAAAAAGAUUGGAUUUUGAUUAUGUAAA